rnacentral:rRNA from 1 species
GUUGACCUCGGAUCAGGUAGGAAUACCCGCUGAACUUAAGCAUAUCAAUAAGCGGAGGAAAAGAAACCAACAGGGAUUGCCCUAGUAACGGCGAGUGAAGCGGCAACAGCUCAAAUUUGAAAUCUGGCUCUCGGGCCCGAGUUGUAAUUUGUAGAGGAUGCUUUUGAUGCGGUGCCUUCCGAGUUCCCUGGAACGGGACGCCAUAGAGGGUGAGAGCCCCGUCUGGUUGGAUGCCAAAUCUCUGUAAAGCUCCUUCGACGAGUCGAGUAGUUUGGGAAUGCUGCUCUAAAUGGGAGGUAUAUGUCUUCUAAAGCUAAAUACCGGCCAGAGACCGAUAGCGCACAAGUAGAGUGAUCGAAAGAUGAAAAGCACUUUGAAAAGAGAGUUAAAAAGUACGUGAAAUUGUUGAAAGGGAAGCGUUUAUGACCAGACUUGGGCUUGGUUAAUCAUCUGGGGUUCUCCCCAGUGCACUUUUCCAGUCCAGGCCAGCAUCAGUUUUCCCCGGGGGACAAAGGCUUCGGGAAUGUGGCUCUCUUCGGGGAGUGUUAUAGCCCGCUGCGUAAUACCCUGGGGGGGACUGAGGUUCGCGCUUCUGCAAGGAUGCUGGCGUAAUGGUCAUCAACGAC